CAGUAGCCGCGGUAAUACGUAGGGUGCAAGCGUUAAUCGGAAUUACUGGGCGUAAAGCGUGCGCAGGCGGUUAUAUAAGACAGAUGUGAAAUCCCCGGGCUCAACCUGGGAACUGCAUUUGUGACUGUAUAGCUAGAGUACGGCAGAGGGGGAUGGAAUUCCGCGUGUAGCAGUGAAAUGCGUAGAUGUGCGGAGGAACACCGAUGGCGAAGGCAAUCCCCUGGGCCUGUACUGACGCUCAUGCACGAAAGCGUGGGGAGCAAACAGGAUUAGAUACCCCGGUAGUCCCUGUCUCUUAUAA
rnacentral:rRNA from 1 species